rnacentral:rRNA from 1 species
UACGUAGGGUGCUAGCGUUGUCCGGAUUUAUUGGGCGUAAAGAGCUUGUAGGCGGUAUGUCGCGUCUGCUGUGAAAAUCCGGGGCUCAACCCCGGACUUGCAGUGGGUACGGGCAGACUAGAGUGUGGUAGGGGAGACUGGAAUUCCUGGUGUAGCGGUGAAAUGCGCAGAUAUCAGGAGGAACACCGAUGGCGAAGGCGGCAUCCUGGACCGAUUCUGACGCUGAGGAGCGAAAGCCAGGGGAGCAAACGGG